UACGUAGGGUGCGAGCGUUAAUCGGAAUUACUGGGCGUAAAGCGUGCGCAGGCGGUUUGCUAAGACCGAUGUGAAAUCCCCGGGCUCAACCUGGGAACUGCAUUGGUGACUGGCAGGCUAGAGUAUGGCAGAGGGGGGUAGAAUUCCACGUGUAGCAGUGAAAUGCGUAGAGAUGUGGAGGAAUACCGAUGGCGAAGGCAGCCCCCUGGGCCCAAUACUGACGCUCAUGCACGAAAGCGUGGGGAG
rnacentral:rRNA from 1 species